rnacentral:rRNA from 1 species
AGUGAACGCUGGCGGUAGGCCUAACACAUGCAAGUCGAACGGCAGCACAGUAAGAGCUUGCUCUUACGGGUGGCGAGUGGCGGACGGGUGAGGAAUACAUCGGAAUCUACUUUUUCGUGGGGGAUAACGUAGGGAAACUUACGCUAAUACCGCAUACGACCUACGGGUGAAAGCAGGGGAUCUUCGGACCUUGCGCGAUUGAAUGAGCCGAUGUCGGAUUAGCUAGUUGGCGGGGUAAAGGCCCACCAAGGCGACGAUCCGUAGCUGGUCUGAGAGGAUGAUCAGCCACACUGGAACUGAGACACGGUCCAGACUCCUACGGGAGGCAGCAGUGGGGAAUAUUGGACAAUGGGCGAAAGCCUGAUCCAGCCAUACCGCGUGAGUGAAGAAGGCCUUCGGGUUGUAAAGCCCUUUUGUUGGGAAAGAAAAGCAGCAGGUUAAUCCACCGCUGUUCUGACGGUACCCAAAGAAUAAGCACCGGCUAACUUCGUG